rnacentral:rRNA from 1 species
GAUGAACGCUGGCGGCGUGCUUAACACAUGCAAGUCGAGCGGAGAGAAUUGAAAGCUUGCUUUUAACUCUCUUAGCGGCGGACGGGUGAGUAACGUGUGGGUAACCUGCCUUAUACUGUGGAAUAAUCAUGAGAAAUCGUGACUAAUACCGCAUGUGGUCUUUGGAAGGCAUCUUUCAAAGAAGAAAGGAUUUAUUCGGUAUAAGAUGGACCCGCAUCUGAUUAGCUAGUUGGUGAGAUAAAAGCCCACCAAGGCAACGAUCAGUAGCCGACCUGAGAGGGUGAUCGGCCACAUUGGGGACUGAGACACGGCCCAAACUCCUACGGGUGGCAG